rnacentral:piRNA from 1 species
UCCCAGGCUUGUUUACUCUUUCACUGGGU